ACUAACAAACCCCAAAAGAAAAAAAAAAGCCCAAAUUCUUGACGUUCUUGUUCUUCUGCUCUUCGUCUUCUACGUUCUUUCUUCCCUCUUACUUGGAGCACCCAAAUUCUCCGGUAUGGAGCACGAUCCCCGACUCCCCGAGUUUUAAAAGAACAAAGUUGAAGGACUUCUUGGCCACAAUGCAAUCUUCCCCUCACUUUCAAUCAGAGAUUGCUUAACUUCAAGGAGUAUGCAAAGCAAUUUCCUACAAUUGGGUUCGAGAAAACAACAAUGAAGUACAAAAACUGAGGGAGAAAUCAUGGGUUAGUAUGGUACUAAAUCGAUUGUGAGGAAGAAGUGCUGCUGCCGGUACUAAUUUCGAUGUCAAGAAAGUCUGUAUCGUGAUCUCCCUAUCUGAAUAUCAUCUAUGGGAAGAGAGAAGAUGCAAGUAAAGAGGAGAAUGUAAGGACCUUAACAUGAAAGUGGUCGAAGACGAGCAACUUUUUUGAGAUAUGCAAGACCAAUAAGACCAACAACACAAACUCUUUCUGUUUUACUAUUAGUUAAUAUGGAUGGCUCUAUUUUGGAAGCAUCUUAAAGUUACAGUAUGUAUAGGUAAACUAUGUUGAGAAGAUUUCUUGUGUUGGGAUGUUUCUCUUUGCCAUCAUACAAUGUGGAUCAAUUCAAGUUUAUCUAAUGCUAUUUAGUUUGCUAUGGAA